UUGACCCAAUCUAUUAUCAAAAAAAGAAUCCUUAUUUCCUUUUCGUUCUCGCAAGUCUCCCUCUCAACUUCUAAAACGAACCUUCCUUUCCAGUUGCCAUCGAAGUCUCAGACAUCUCCUUAGUCUUUACAGAAAGCUUCCUUCAAUUGUGGGUUUCUUCAUUUUCGAUUUUAUAUAUACAUCCCUUGGCAACAUUUUCCAUAGAUCAAUUACCUGUUCUUCCUUUCCCAGAGAUUUCUAAUGGAAGUGGUUUUCUUUAAGAAUGAUUAUUCCGAGAUAUAAGGAUUUAUUUUGUGACAAGGUAAACAACAACUUGCUUGAAGAAGAAGUACAUACACCUACCCCACUUUUGACACGGAUGAUCACUGAUGAACCUAUUGAUGGAGGAAGCAUUUGAAUUUGGCAAAGAAUGUAUCUAUUCUGGUGAUGUUCUUUGUGAUGAAUACCUUAUAGAGUUUGUAGCUUGAAAAUGUGAACACUUUUGUUUCUUUGUUAGUAAGAAAAUCUUUUCUACUCUUUUCCUUCCAAAUUUAAACCAAUUUCCCGACUUUUGAAUAGUAGAUAUAAUGGAUGAAUAGACAUGGUGGAAUGAUUUUUUUUCCUUCCAAAACAACAUGGAUAUAGAUAGUGAAAUUGAAGCAAUUGGUGAAACUCCUUCAACAUCUGUUCCUCCACUUCCACCAUCAUGUUUAGGGAAGAGAAAAAAUAGAAAACACUUCACAAUUAUAGGGAAUUCAAAAGCAGAAGAUGUUAGGUGUGCAUGCAACUAUUAUGGGUAGGAUUAUGGUUGUAGGGCUAGGAAGUAUGAGACUGGUACCUUGAAGAAUCAUUUGGUUCUUUAUUGUAAGAAGUAUCCCGGAAGAUUGGAAGAUAAACGACAAAAAAGUCCAACUAAGGGUGGUGUGAACAUUCUAGUUGGCUUUAAUAAGGAAGAGUGUAGGUUUGUAUGUACUAAGAUGAUAAUAUUGGAUGAAUUACCUUUUAGAUUUGUCGAAGGUGAGGGGUUUAGACAAUUUUGUAGGCUAGCAUGUCCUAAAUUUGAUCCUUCAUCUCGUAGAAUUGUUGUUAGAGAUAUUUAUUAGUUGUAGUUGGAUAAAAAAUUGCAAUUUAAAAAGAUCAUCCAACGUUAAAGAGUUUCUCUUACUACUGAUACUUGGAAUUCCAUUCAAAAUAUUAAUUCUAUGUGUCUCACAGCACACUUUGUUGAUUCUGAUUGGAAGCUUCAUAAAUGGAUUUUGGCCUUCCGUGUGAUUGCUAAUCAUAAAGGUAAAACCAUUGGUAAAGUCGAUGAAACUUGUUUGCAUGUAUGGGGUAUUAAGAGAUUAUUUACAAUCAUAGUUGAUAAUGCAACUAUAAAUAAAACAGCUAUUUCUUAUAUUAAGAGGAAGAUGAUUGGUCAGAGUGGUGAUGGGUGUGUUUAGAUGGAAAGUAUCUAUACAUGAGGUGUUGUGCACAUAUUAUUAAUUUGAUUGUGUGUGAGGGGUUGAAGGAAGCACAUGAUUUAAUUGUUAGUAUUCGAAAUGCAAUAAAGUUAAUGAUGUGGAUAGAUACUUGUUAGAUGCUUGUGAAGAUAUAAAGGACGAUACUUUUGAUGUUUUUAAUUGGUGGAAGGUGAAUGGAAACAAAUAUGGUGCAUUGUCAAAACUUGCAAGAGAUGUAAUGGCUAUUCAAGUGUCUAUUAUGGCCUCAGAAAUUGCUUUCAGUACCGAAGGAAGAAUUCUUAAUCCAUUUCAUAGUUCUUUAACUCCUAGGAUGGUGGAAGUUUUGGUGUGUACAGAAAAUUGGAUUAAAAAGUCUACAAAGCAUGGAGAAAUUCUAUAUGGAAGAUGUGGAGGAAUAUAAUAAGUUGGAUCAAAAACUUUUGGAAUCAGAGAAAUCAAAUGAAGGCUAAAUCAAUGUGAUUAGUUCAUUUCUAAAUUUUUGAGGAAUGAUGCUUAAAGCUUACACGAUAACUUGGAAGUCGUAACAUUUUACCUUAUUAUUUGUUUUAUGAGAAUUUUGAUUUUGGAUUAUUGUAGCAUUUGUAUUCUUAUUUAUUGAGUUUGGAUUACUGUAAUAUUUAAAUUUUCUUUUCAUGCUUGAUGGUUAUUUUGAUUGUGUUUAGUUUCA